CGCUAAAUAUAGCGACACAUUCGCUAAGUUGGCAACACUGGGUUCCCACUAGUUACCACAGCCACAAAGCUGUGUCAUACUACUUCAAUAUUGACUAUAUUGUAAAAAUGCAUGAAAAUACAAAUUUGCUUUAUGGUCUUCAUUUAAGGUUAGGGUUAGGCAUACGGUUAGCAGUGUGGUUAAUAUUAGGUUUAACAUCAGAUUUGAAGAAGAAAUGGUAGAAUUAAGCGGGGUUUAUAAUUUUGUGGAUGUGGUAACUAGUGACGACCCCGGAGGUGGAGGCUAGGACAGCAGGACGUUCUCGCGCCUGCUCAUCAGGUAGAAGGUUUCCAAUUGGGUGUGGCUUACGUAUUUUUGUUUUGUUUUUGACUACUGUUGUUUCUUCAGAGGCGAAUGUGGUCGUAAAUCGUUUUUUAAGUUUAGGUAUAUCAUAUGGGACUAUUUUAUAGAGAAAUAUACCUAGACGUGUUAAAAACCGUCCACACCUGUUUGGAGCUGAACCUCAUCUGAGUUCUGGAGUUUGUAAGCUUGCCUUAAGUUCUCAAGUGAGAUCUAUACAAGGGUCAGGAUGGCUGAGACUGAGCCAUGGAUCAGGGCUGGAGGUCCAUGGGAAGCCACUGUCCAUCGCCUCCCUGUCUCAUGGAUCAAACAAUGGCUGUGGCAUCCUCCAACCUCCAGACCCAAGGUUGAAGACUUGGAGAGACAUUAUGCAGGACUGUUAGAAGACAGCACUACCAGUCCCUCCAGUUGCUGCUCGCGCCAGCGCAUCCUCCUGGCCAUCCUCAUCAUGGUGGCCCUGACAGUCAUGGCACUGCUGCUACUGUGGAACUACCAGUGCAUCAUGGUGUGGCACCUAUGCCAGGAAGAGCACUCUGGCUUCCCUAAGAUGAUGGAAGGGGGUAUAGGACUGGCACGUUGGGGGAGAGACUAGGGCAGCUUGAACAGGUUUAAGGCGUGAUAAUGCGAAAGCACAUUAACCCUAUCCAAACAUAUACACUAGCUAGCUCAUUUUUGUCCUGAAUAUGUUUGUUUUUCUGCUUGGAUUCUAAUGGUGCCAUACAUUUUGCACAAUGUUAGUUUUUCCAUAUAAGUUAUGAACAGGUGACAGGUUUUUCAGUUACUGUCAGAUUUGUUUGUUUGAAACUCCGGUUCAGAAAUAAACAAGGCCAAAAGUAUGUGGACAGCUUAUUCCAAAAUCAUGGGCAUUUAAUAUGGAGUUGGUCCUCCCUUUGAUGCAAUAACAGCCUCCACUCUUCUGGGAAGGAAACUUGAUGUUAGAACAUUGCUGCAGGGACUUGCUUCCAUUCAGCCACAAGCAUUAGUGAGGUUGGGCACUGAUGUUGGGCGAUUAGGCCCGACUCGCAGUCUGCGUUCCGAUUCAUCCCAAAGGUGUUCGAUUGGGGUGAAGACACGGCUCUUCCACGCUGAUCUUGAAAAACCAUUUCUGUAUGGACCUCGCUUUGUGCACAGGGGCGUUGUCCUGCUGAAACAGGAAAGGUCCUUCCCCAAACUGUCGCCACAAAGUUGAAAGCGCAGAAUUGUCUAGAAUGUUGUGUGCUGUUGCAUUAAGAUUUCCCUUUACUGGAUCUAAGGGGCUUAGCCCGAACCAUAAAAAAACGCCCCAGACCAUUAUUCCUCCUCCACCAAACUUUACAGCACUAUGCCAUCCCGUUUACAGCACGGCCAUCCCGUUCUGUGAGCUUGUGUGGCUUACAACUUCGCAGCUGAGCCAUUGUAGCUCCUAGAAGUUUCCACUUCACAAUAACAGCACUUAUAGUUGACUGGGACAGCUCUAGCAGGGCAGAAAUGUGAUAAACUGAGUUGUUGGAAAGGUGCAUCCUAUGAUGGUGCCACAUUUGAAAGUCACUGAGCUCUUCAGUAUGGGCCAAUCUACUGCCAAUGUUUGUCUAUAGAGAGUGCAUGGAAGUGUGCUCAAUUUAAUAGAACUGUCAGCAACGGAUGUGGCUUAAAUUGCUGAAUCCACUAAUUUGAAAGGGUGUCCACAUACUUUUGUAUAAAAUACACUUUCAAUGGUUUAUUUUUGCCAUGUGUAUUACUCAAGCUGGAAUAUAUAAACUCUUAUGCUCUUAUUUCUUUUGUGAAUAUUAGAGGGUGAUUUUAUACUUUGUAAGUGUUCCUACACUAGAAAUAAAGAUACUUGUUUGUCAUAUUAAGCUUGAUGCAAAGUUUGCCAACCUACUAUAGUUUUGUUGUUGUAUUUUACCACAAGGGGGAGUUAUUGUCCAUAAAUAAAACAUCAUCAAGUCCCAGCUCUCAGAUGUUUCAAGGUGCAGCACUAACUGUUGUUUUGCAUGUCUUUUGGGGUUGAAGGUGGUCUCACUGAUUUUCCUGCUAAUUUAAACCAAGGGUUGGAUAAAAAUAAAUAAAACAGUGUGGCUCUCAAAUGGACUGUGUGUCUACAUUGUGAUGCCUCUCUGUGGUCAAGCAUG